UUACAGCACUAGGGCAGUUUUCCUGGCCCUGGCCAUCACUGUUCUUGUAUCUGUUGCGGUGACAGUGUUCUGCUUCCAGACUAAGGUGGAUUUCACUAAAUGUUCAGGAUUUUUCUGUGUCCUCGGAAUCGUAGUGUUUGUGACUGGCAUCAUCACGGCUAUCGUGCUGUCAUUCAAAUAUAUCCCAUGGCUUCACAUGCUCUAUGCAGCAAUAG